UACGUAGGGUGCAAGCGUUGUCCGGAAUUAUUGGGCGUAAAGAGCUCGUAGGCGGUCUGUUGCGUCGGCUGUACGGAAAACCCGGGGCUCAACCCCGGGCCUGCAGGCCGAUACGGGCAGACUUAGAGUUCGGUAGGGGAGACUGGAAUUCCUGGUGUAGCGGUGAAAUGCGCAGAUAUCAGGAGGAACACCGGUGGCGAAGGCGGGUCUCUGGGCCGAUACUGACGCUGAGGAGCGAAAGCGUGGGGAGCGAACAGG
rnacentral:rRNA from 1 species